GCGCCCAUAGCUCAGCUGGAUAGAGCGCCGGUCUACGGAACCGGAAGUCGGAGGUUCGAAUCCUUCUGGGCGCG
rnacentral:tRNA from 1 species